rnacentral:rRNA from 1 species
CCCUUAGAUGUCCUGGGCCGCACGCGCGCUACACUGAGUGUCUGAGAUACGAGUCUGCCUGGUCCGGCAAGGUCUAGUUAAUCGCUAAAAGACACAUCAUGCUUGGGAUAGAUUAUUGCAAAUAUUAAUCUUGAACGAGGAAUUCCUAGUAAGCGCAAGUCAACAGCUUGCGUUGAUUACGUCCCUGCCCUUUGUACACACCGCCCGUCGCUACUACUGAUUGGAUGUUUAAGCGAGGUUCUCGAACUGCUAGCGACUUAGCUUCGGUGAGGUCGCAGUGUGGGAAGUGAACCUAGCUUUGGUGUCUAGAGGAAGUAAAAGUCGUAACA